UCCCAAAUCAUUUAGAGCAAAGAAGGAUACGAUAAAGAAUGUCUAGUAUUACUGUAAGUGUAAUGAUCAAUUUUUUUUUCAAGGGUGAAAUGAUAUUUAUAUCUUAUAUUGUUUAAAAUUGAAAUAAAUUUGACAAGAAACUAUGAACAAUAGAUGAUGAAUCAGAUUUCAUGGAAUUAUAUAAAUAGUAAGGCCAGGGAUGACAAAACCUGGGGUUGGGACCAGGAAUGGCAAAUCCCAGCUCCGACACGGACAUGUUUUUUGAACACCUAGGCUAGGCAUUUUGUUCGAGCUUCAAAAGCAUUGGAUUUUAUAUUUUAUAAUAUUAAGUAUGUAUAUGUUUAGAUUUAUAUAAUUUUUAAUUUUUAAUUUUUUUCAAUGAAAUUAGGCAUGAAAAUAUGAAUUUAAAUGUUCAAAAAUUUUAACGUAUGUAAUAGAUUGGCCGAAUAAAUAUAAUUAUUUUAAAUAAUAUAUUUUUUAUAAUUAUUUUAAAUAAAAUUAGAAUUUUGGACACUACCCCUAAUUUAUCAAGUGAUGCCCAAGGCUACGGCCUGACCUCAUCCGUUGACUAGAUGUUACUUGGCCCACAUCGCAUAAGUUCUGUCCAAGUCCAGUUGCACGGAUAUUUUUGACACCCCUAAAUAAGGCUUUAAUGCAAUUAUCCAUAUUUAAUUUGGUCACUUUAUCAACUAGUAAUAAAAUUUCAGUACUUUUAUCAAAAGUACGGCCUUAUGUCCAAUGAACCCCAAUUACUAAAAUGAUCUCAAAUUUCAUCAAUGCAUUUUAUAAAAUGAACUAAAAAAAUUGAAACAAUUGAAUUUGAAUGCUUUCAAACUCAUUAACAAAAUAAUAUUGAAACAACUUGCGUAACAAAUAGGGUGCUAAGUGAGAUGAACCCUUUAUUAGUAAAAUUUUCUGUUUUCUGUGUAAAGAAAAUUUUACGAAUACAAUAAAAUUUAAAAGAGUAAUGAUAUAGCCACAAACUUUUGUACAAACUAAUGUGGCAUGAUAAGAUUAGUUGAAUUAAAUAUCACUUGGCCCACAUGAUUUGUUUUUAUUAUUUUAUAUUUUCAUUCAACCAAUGAAUUAAUGCCACGUCAGUUUGUACAAGAUAAGUUUGUACAAGAGUUUGUGGCUGUAUCAUCACUCAAUUUAAAAAGAGAUUAAAAAGAAGAAAAAUAUGAUAUGAAUAUAAAUGGUAUGAGACAAACACCGAUGCGCAAUUCCAAUAAGAAAACAAAACCAAAGGAGAUCGAGAUAAUUGAGUAAUGAAGUAACCUCAAUAAUGGUGACGCCAAUACCCUGAAAUUCCUUGUGGAUUUCAAGCUUGGAGGGUCUUGAAUUUUGUGUAACAGGUCGAGCAUAAACAAAAGUAUUGUGACCAGAAGAAACACUUGCUUUCACCAUAUACUUACCGAGGUAUCCAGUACCCCCAAAGAUAAGUUUCUUUGGUUUUGUGUUCUUACCUUUCAUUUCUUCCUUUCAUUUCAAUUUGUCUUUUCAUAUUCCCUUCCCUUUUUACACAUUUAUAUGUUGAAAAUGUGAGACUCGACAGUUCAUGCGGAUAUAAUUGCUGCAAACGAACGGAUAUAAUUGAAGAAACAAAUUUAUGAAUGCUAGAAAUAUCUAAGCAUCUAAUAAAUUUCUUUUAGACAGGUAGAAAUAUCUAGGCAAAAGUUGUUAAAAAUUAGCCACAACGAAAAAUGCUAAAUGUGUGGUCACCUAGUGUUUGUAAGGCCUAUAAAGACAUGGCCGUGUAUCCAAUUCAAGCAAUGAAGUUAAGAACAACAAAAUCUUCCACUAGUAAAAUCCUUUCCACUUCCCUUUAUCUUUGAUCAAAUAUUAUUGAUCAAAAAUAUUUUCUACUUUAAUUAUUUUAGCCCACUAUCUACCCCUGCUCCAACACCUGCCUUCUACUCCCUCAAUUUUUGGGAACCGAAUCUAAAAAUUUUUAUAUCAUUGAAUUUAAAGGGGGAAAGAUCAAAAUGGAAGAUCAGUAUGAUAAGUUUCUUUUGAAAAUGAAUUAUUUUUUCAAUAUUUCUUUGAUAAUGUAUCAUUCUCACUAUAAACUAUAUCGUGAUUAGUUAUGUUUUCUGCUUAUUAUUAUCAUUAUUUUAACAUCACAGCAUUUUUCUAUAGAGUAAAAAUAUAUAAAUGCUUAAAAAUAUGCAUGGAGUUCCAUGCAUGUUCUGUUAUUCUUUCUUUUGAUUUAUUGACACAAAACAAGGAUAAGACUAGUUUUGGAAAAUUAUCACUUUAUGAAUUAACUUCAUUUAAUAAGCAAAAUUAUCCUAUUGUGACAUCAUACCCAAACUGGGAUAAUUAGAUAGUUUUUAUUUCAUUUUCUUGAUUUUUUAAUUAUCUAAUAAUACUCAGACUGUGGGGUAUGGUACCCUUAGUUAAAUACUAACUUCAAACAGUUCACAUUCAAAUUAGUGAUACAUAUCUUACACAAGAAACAUAUUUGGUUAUGGUUAAAAAAUUAUAAAUGAUGAGGGUCUGCUUUGAAAUUUAACCAAAAAAAUUCACGUAUUGACCCACUAGAUUUACACUUUGGCCCAAUGGAAUAGAACAUCAUUCUGGUUCUGCUUGUAGUGAUUUUAUCCUUUUAUGACUUUAUAUAAAAGUAAAUAAUUUUAUUAAAAAAAUUAAAUAAAAAAUCAAAAUUCUUACUCUCAGAUAGCUUUACUAGUUCUUCCUCAGAAACGUGAACUCUUUUGAAACUCCAUCCAGUCUUUUGUUCCCAAAGGGAGAUCAAUUCAAGUUGUGAUAUAAUGCUUGCUUGCGGUCGAUAAAUCACAAUUCGAUUGCAUGUCCUUGGAUCAUUUAUCACUUUGAUUGUACAUUUAGCUAUAUCUUCCUCGUAAUUAAAGACAGCUGAUAUAGAUAAAUAGAUGAUAGAACAUCAAAAAGAUAUUCAAAAAAUGAACUUUUAGUGUAAAUUUUAUUUUAAUAUGCGUGGACUCCUGCAUUGGGAAAGUAUACGUACCUUUUGCUUCACCACUUCCAUAAACAACAACAUCAUCAUGUGAUUCAGAAGGACGAAGCAAGACAUUCACAAAGUAAGCACCACAGAGAUUUGCUGAGACAAAGGUGUAGGGAAUUUGAGCUGCUUCUAUUGCCCUUCUCACUAUUCUUUUUGUCUCCAAGCAAGCUUCAAAAGGGGGCAGAGGCCUCACCCUGCUCUCUUCACAUCCAAACUCAGAUGGAAGAAACCUCUAGCAACCAAUACAUAGUGUCUUUAAGAUCUGUUCUAUAUAAACAAAUUUGAAGCAGUUCAGCACUAAAUUGUAAAAAGACACUCGAAUGGUAAAAAGAUGCAAAUAUUAAAUUAGAGUUUGUGAUCUUAGAUAUUUUGCUAAUUAACUAGCCCUCGUAUAUAUUUUUACUUCUUUUUAUAGCUAACUACAAUUGCCUCACCUAAAUCUACAUUUACAUAGUGCGGACGUCCACAUUUACAAGUUUCUAAUAUUUUUCAAUUAAUAAACAAACUAUAUUUCAAUUUCUCCAAAAAAAACAGAGAGGACAACAAGCGAUUUAUUUUAUUUUUUAAAAAGAAAGAGCUUAAUCAAAUACCUUGAUGUUACCAGCAACUUUGAUGGCAUCAACAAUUUUCAGUUGAUCAAGAAACUGAGAACAAUUUUCAGUUGAUCAACUUGAUGUUACCAGCAACUUUGAUGGCAUCAACAAUUUUCAGUUGAUCAAGAAACUGAGGAUAAGCUACAGUAGAUAUCACCACAUCUACUUCCUUAAGUACAGAUACAAUUUUCUCGUGCUCGUCUAGCUCUCCCUAUUUUAAUUUCAACAGUAUUAUUACAAAUAAUAUCGAAGGGCUCCAAUUACAUCAACACAAAAUUAAUCUCAUAAAAAGAAGUAUAAGAGGCUUGAGGCUCGAAUUUCGGCCGUGCAUUUAAAGAGGGAAAAAAAGAGCAAAAAAAUAAAUAAAUAAACAAAACCCAAGGAGAUCGAGAUAAUUGAGUAAUGAAGUAACCUCAAUAAUGGUGACGCCAAUACCCUGAAAUUCCUUGUGGAUUUCAACCUUGGAGGUUCUUGAAUUUUGUGUAACAGGUCGAGCAUAAACAAAAGUUUUGUGACCAGAAGCAACACUUGCUUUCACCAUAUACUUACCGAGGUAUCCAGUACCCCCAAAGAUUAGUAUCUUUGGUUUUGUGUUCUCACCUUCCAUUUCUUCCUUUCACUUCAAUUUAUCUUUCAUCCUCCCUUCCCUUUUUACAUAUUUAUAUAUGAUAUCAG
rnacentral:lncRNA from 1 species